AGAGCCCUGGAUGAGGCGUCCUCCAAAGGAUUAUGUCACCAAGUUUCUGCAGGCCAGGCGGGUAAUCUUGCUUGUGGCCACACUCCUCUUCCUGGGACCUGAGCCUGCCCUCCUGCUCCUGAGUAGUUCAUUGUGAUGCUGUCUGCUGUGGCUGUGGAGUGCUACGCGCUGGCCAGCCUGAGGGCGACCUGUACCGCCUUGGCCAAACCCUUUACCCCACUGAGAGAUACCUCCCUCAUCUGCAGCGAGAGUCCCUACCUUGUAGGGCAGUGUGAAGGAUGUCCUGAGAUGGUCAGGACUUAGCACCCUGUAAGCACAAGAGCUGUUCUUGGUGGCGUUAUGAUCACACCCACAGAUAGGGCCUCAGGCAGGCCUCAGUGUCCUCCUGGCUGGCCACGUGCUACGGAUGUCCCCAUGCACUUGAUGUGUCAGCAGCAGAAGGACCUUCAGGAGGAGGCAACGAUGGGAUGAGACGAGGCUCAAAGGAGGAUGUUGCCGCGCAGAGACGUUUCGGGAAUAUGAGGCAGGUCACCACCUAUGAUUCUUGUGGUAGUGGAGGAAUGGUGGCGGCUGUCAUUGUGACACCCACUUUAGAGACAGGAAACUGAGCUUCAGAGAGGGGGAGUCCAGGCCCCACAGCACACAGCCAGGAAAGGGCCGGGCAGAAGGGGCUUUGGGUUUUAACCUAACUCACCCCGACUGCCUGCUUCUUCACCCAGCCAUCAUGGAACGUCUCUGUGCCUCUUCCCUGCUCUCGUGGAGGCCUGGGUCAGGCAGCUGCCCAGAGGCAGACGUGCACUGUGACCCUAGAAGACUGUUCCAGACAGGCCAGCCCAGGCAGAGACAAAACAGGGACCUGCUCCUCAUUGGUGUCACGACCAAAUGCAGGGGAUUUGCUAAGGGAGGCGCAGCCAUGAAUUGGGAGCCAGCUUCGUGCUCUGCCACUCCUUCUUGCUAAUCCCUCGAAAAUCCAAUCAGAGCUGUUUCCCUCCAUGAAACCAACUGGACACAGCACAUACUGGCCGGACCUCUGCCAGCAUGGAGUGGAUCUUUUUUCUGUUUAAAGAACCAGGUUUCAAAUGUUCUUAAUAAAACGUUUAUAUAUAUCAUGCAGGGUGCAAAUAAAUAUUUUAAUAUAAUUGGAAGAAUGUAGAGAAUUGUAAAAAGUUAUGGAAGUUUUACUUCUGAUUGGCCAAGACUCAAUAAACUCUGGUUUGAUGUACUCUAAUUUAUAGGCGUGCAAAGCCAACUCUUUGGCAUCAGAGAGGCCGUUAACGUUGUAAUGAUGUUUAAACGCUGACAAAUGAGCUGCUUGGGCGGCACCUUCAGCCCUGAGAAUGGAACUGUUGGAGCUGGAGGACUUGCCUGUCCCCAGCUUUCUCCCUUCCUCCCGUGCUGGUGGAGCAGGUUAAGGGCAGGAGGACUGUUCAUUGGGGCG
rnacentral:lncRNA from 10 species